rnacentral:misc_RNA from 1 species
GAUGAAGAACGCAGCGAAAUGCGAUAAGUAAUGUGAAUUGCAGAAUUCAGUGAAUCAUCGAAUCUUUGAACGCACAUUGCGCCCGCCAGUAUUCUGGCGGGCAUGCCUGUUCGAGCGUCAUUUCAACCAUCAAGCCCCCGGCUUGUGUUGGGGACCUGCGGCUGCCGCAGGCCCUGAAAACCAGUGGCGGGCUCGCUAGUCACUCCGAGCGUAGUAAUACAUCUCGCUCAGGGCGUGCUGCGGGUUCCGGCCGUUAAAAAGCCUUAUUUACCCAAGGUUAACCUCGGAUCAGGUAGGAAGACCCGCUGAACUUAAGCAUAUCAAUAAGCGGAGGA